ensembl:lncRNA
CAAAACCCCCCAUUUUCUUCUGUCAAUUGCCUUUCCUCCAGGAUUUCCAGCCACGAGCAAUGCUUCCUCCAAGAUGACCAGGCUGGGCUUUAUCCCGAGCUCCGUUCAAACCACACAGACAGCAAGCAGGGGUGUGGAGAUGCAGUCCACGCUGAGCUGGCCCUGGGGCCAGGCACCCUUCUGGAGGAGUCGGACAAGCCCCACAGUGAAGAAACUACCAGCCAGGGCUCUAGUCCCUGGGACCGAUCCCCACCCGUGCUGUCCGGUCCAUUUUGGCUUACUUUGCAGACGUGGUCACAGACGUACUAAGCCUUUCAAGGUGGCUUGGUAAGAAGAGUAGGCUUGGAUUGUGCGGAAUCAGAGUGAGGGGGUGGUGGCCCAGGUGAAAGGCUGGCUCCCAAAAAGAUGGGAAGUUUGAGUCUGUUUUCCACUGCCAAGAGUUUUGGAAACCUUGGGUUCAUCUAAGCCAGCACCCUGGAGAUCUGCCAGCACAGAGACCCUGGACCUUACAGGGGGUCCAGGACCUUACAGGACCCGACCCUGCAGGAGCCAGAGCCUUUCCCUGGGGUCCAAAAGAAGCUGAGGGAGAGGCACGGGUCCCUCAUCUGUGCCUGCGCCUGCGCACGUCAUUCUUGUCACGGCUCAUGGUCCAAAAGGCUCUGCAGCAAAGAUUCAUCUGUUUCAAUUUUCAUGGAAAUGAAGCAUUUUAUCUCAGAACACAGGGGGAAGAGUGAACUCCCAUUCCUUAAUGCAGAUGGACUAGAUCCCUUUUCACUUUCUUACUUUAAAAGGGAAAUCCGAAUGCUGCUGCCAUUUGCUCCGUUGGAUGCCGCUGAUAAUUCCUAAAGCUAGGCGAAUAGAUCCAGAGCCAGGUUCCUUGCCACAAGCCCGCCUGGCGCACACCCGAGCUGCCACAGCCUCGACUGAGCUGGGCCGGGAAGCAGCCUGACAGAGGAAAACGAAGGCCUUGAGAAAGAGGCCUGGAACGCUGAGUCCAAAGCCUGGUGUCCUCAGGAAGGUUUUGGGAAACAGCGUCCAACCCCAGCCUGCAGUGCUGUGGUCAGCCCACAGGAGCCAGCCAUGGAUCUGCUCCGGCUGCUCGCGCCCUGCCCGGCACUCAGCAGCAGCCCUGCUAUCAACUGACCAAGCCCGGACUGCGCCGGGGGUUCAUCUGCAAUCCUCACUGAAGAUCCUUGGGCUGAGUGUGGCCCCAUGUUACGGACUAGGAAACUGAGGCUCAGAGAGCUUAGGGUCCACACAGCUUAUUCAUGGUAGAAUCAAGAGUUGAAUCCACAUCUUUGAUUUCUCAGCCUGUGGCCUGCAUUUCUACACUAGGCCAUGAGUGACUCAAGUUCCAGCCCACUCUAUCAGGCUUCUGUGCUCUGCUCCUUGUAUGGAUAGUAUAGUUCAGCUCCAUAAAUAUGCCCUAUGCCUUCCUGCCUUCUGGACUGACUGCUUUACCUUCCCUGCCCCUCAGCUUUCCCUCCAACUUUGCCAUUUUACACUGAUUCUGUCUGCACAAAAACACUCUUCCUACCCCUCUUCCUGGCCCCCUUGGUAUAUAGUUCUCCUUCAUUGUUCUUAAAGUACGUCCCCAGAUCAGCAGCCUCAGCAUGAGCUCCUACGCAGGACCUGCUGAAUCAGACACUCUGGGCACGGAGCCCAAGGAUCUGUUUUAACAAGCCCUCCGGUGAGUCUGAUGCACGACAAGCUUGAGAACCACUGGGCUCCGUCCCGCUUCUCCAGACCCCAACAAGUCUUGGUGACAAUUAAGGGUAAGCUUAGCUCUUGUUGUGGUCUUGAUGAGCUCUCCUCAAUGGGUAUAUUAUGGAGGGAUCCUAAGUGGCUAAUAAGGAAGGGGAUGAAAGUCGGUUUUGGCUUUUGCUGCUGUUCCCAACCCCCUUCUUGCCAUCCUGCUCUGGAGCAGCUGACAAAAGUGACCAUUAUCAUCGUCCUCUCAGAGCCAGCUUUGAUGCCCUCACUUAUUGCCUCCCUGACUCGGAUGAAACCUGAGUGCAGUCUCUGCACAAAAAUCACCCAGGACCAUCAGAAUCCAAUCUCAAAGAACUUCUCCAGAUUUUUGUACCUGAAUUGCCUGUGUGGCUCCCUCCUGGCCUUUUCCCUGAGGGGUCUUAUCAGCCCACAGCCCAAGCCCAUUUGUCC